UNGGAAUUACUGGGCGUAAAGCGGGCGCAGACGGUUACUUAAGCAGGAUGUGAANUCCCCGGGCUCAACCUGGGAACUGCGUUNUGAACUGGGUGACUAGAGUGUNUCAGAGGGAGGUAGAAUUCCACGUGUAACAGUGAAAUGCGUAGAGAUGUGGAGGAAUACCGAUGGCGAAGGCAGCCUCCUGGGAUAACACUGACGUUCAUGCCCGAAAGCGUGGGUAGCAAACAGGAUUAGAUACCCUGGUAGUCCACGCCCUAAACGAUGUCGAUUAGCUGUUGGGCAGCAUGACUGCUUAGUAGCGAAGCUAACGCGUGAAAUCGACCGCCUGGGGAGUACGGUCGCAAGAUUAAAACUCAAAGGAAUUGACGGGGACCCGCACAAGCGGUGGAUGAUGUGGAUUAAUUCGAUGCAACGCGAAGAACCUUACCUGGUCUUGACAUGUACGGAACCCUCCAGAGACGGAGGGGUGCCUUCGGGAGCCGUAACACAGGUGCUGCAUGGCUGUCGUCAGCUCGUGUCGUGAGAUGUUAGGUUAAGUCCCGCAACGAGCGCAACCCUUGUCAUUAGUUGCCAUCAUUAAGUUGGGCACUCUAAUGAGACUGCCGGUGACAAGCCGGAGGAAGGUGGGGAUGACGUCAAGUCCUCAUGGCCCUUAUGACCAGGGCUUCACACGUCAUACAAUGGUCGGUACAGAGGGUAGCCAAGCCGCGAGGUGGAGCCAAUCUCACAAAACCGAUCGUAGUCCGGAUUGCACUCUGCAACUCGGGUGCAUGAAGUCGGAAUCGCUAGUAAUCGCAGGUCAGCAUACUGCGGUGAAUACGUUCCCGGGUCUUGUACACACCGCCCGUCACACCAUGGGAGUGGGGGAUACCAGAAGUA
rnacentral:rRNA from 1 species